rnacentral:rRNA from 1 species
AUUGAACGCUGGCGGCAUGCCUUACACAUGCAAGUCGAACGGCAGCACGGGAGCAAUCCUGGUGGCGAGUGGCGAACGGGUGAGUAAUAUAUCGGAACGUGCCCAGUCGUGGGGAUAACGUAGCGAAAGCUACGCUAAUACCGCAUACGAUCUAUGGAUGAAAGCGGGGGAUCGCAAGACCUCGCGCGAUUGGAGCGGCCGAUAUCAGAUUAGGUAGUUGGUGAGGUAAAGGCUCACCAAGCCGACGAUCUGUAGCUGGUCUGAGAGGACGACCAGCCACACUGGGACUGAGACACGGCCCAGACUCCUACGGAGGCAGCAGUGGGAAUUUGGACAAUGGGCGCAAGCCUGAUCCAGCAAUGCCGCGUGCAGGAUGAAGGCCUUCGG